UCUUCGUCUCCCACAUCGCAGCGAUCGAUCCGCGGAGGAGGAGCCUCUGUCUACUUCUGUUGCAGCGAAGGAGAAGAUCGAUGACUGAAGACCAAUCGUUUUAGUCACGAACGGAGAUGGGAUUGAUUCGAUUGGGCUCGUUCUAUGACUCCUGGAGAAACCAUUGCUUUGUGUUCCGCCAGUAUCAAAGGUGCCACAGCCUUUGAAGUUUCAGGUAUGCUGAUUUUGAUUGAAUGAUAGUUUCACAACAUCUCUAAGAUAGAAAAGUUAACGUUUCAAUCUGAAAAUUUGAGUCUUUAUUGAAACAACGAUCCUCUGAUUCUCAAGUUGUUAGAAAAGUGUCUAUUGAGUUCAUAGGCUUUGAUACUAUUCUUUUGUCUCAGGGACUCCUGUGGACUGCAUUUCGUAAGGAUUAUCCGGAGCCCUUCUCGCUUGGUCAAAGCCAAUACUGGUUAGUUAGCAUUGUUUAAUCAUCUCCAUCAUAAUAUAUGUUAUUACUAAUUUCAAACAUCAUUUUCCUUGCUUGUUUUCUUCAGGUAAUUAGUGGAAUCAAUCAGUGAUAAAGCUGUGGGCUGGAGCCAGGGAACACACUCUCUGUCAGAACCGUAUUCACCAUCAUCAAAGCAUCAUUUGGGAAGAGGUGAAGAAACAACUGAAGGCGAAGAAAUGGUUUCUUGGUUCAGUAGCUGGGCCUCCAAGCAUUGCCCUGAUGCAAAGCAUAUGAAUGUUGGCAGUGACACGCAAUUAAGACAGCUGUUUUUCGGUGGCAUUACUAACAGGUGAAGCGAAUACAUGUGACAGAAGAAGCCAAGACAUGACAUUGGUAUGUUUCGCUCACUCAUAAGCUUGUGUAUUUUGCAAUGUUUUAAAAACCGGACCGGAUACCGACUCGGUGUACUCACUGGUUCACUGG